AUGCAAUGUCCGUCUUUAAAAUUCCUAAAAAGAUUUGUAAAGGAAUCAUUGACGCGAUGUCGCAUUUUUGGUGGGGUGACGAAGACAAUCAGAAGAGAAUGCAUUGGAUGGCAUGGUGGAAGAUGUGUGUACCUAAAGACCAAGGAGGAAUGGAUUUUCGAGACAUACAUUGUUUCAAUCUGGCCUUGUUAG
rnacentral:rRNA from 1 species